UACAGAGGUCUCAAGCGUUGUUCGGAUUCAUUGGGCGUAAAGGGUGCGUAGGUGGCGCGGUAAGUCGGGUGUGAAAUCUCGGAGCUUAACUCCGAAAUUGCAUUCGAUACUGCCGUGCUUGAGGACUGGAGAGGAGACUGGAAUUCCUGGUGUAGCGGUGAAAUGCGCAGAUAUCAGGAGGAACACCGGUGGCGAAGGCGGGUCUCUGGGCCGAUACUGACGCUGAGGAGCGAAAGCGUGGGGAGCGAACAGG
rnacentral:rRNA from 1 species